rnacentral:rRNA from 1 species
UACGUAGGGGGCAAGCGUUGUCCGGAAUUAUUGGGCGUAAAGCGCGCGCAGGCGGUUCUUUAAGUCUGGGGGUUAAACCUGGGGCUCAACUUCAGGUCGCACUGGAAACUGGGGGACUUGAGUACAGAAGAGGAGAGUGGAAUUCCACGUGUAGCGGUGAAAUGCGUAGAUAUGUGGAGGAACACCAGUGGCGAAGGCGGGUCUCUGGGCCGGUACCGACGCUGAGGAGCGAAAGCGUGGGGAGCGAACAGG